AUGAGGGGUCAAAACUCAGGAUCAAAGCAUGAAAAUGGUAUGAAAAGAACUCAAUCAGUGAAGAAUGUUAGAGGAAGUUACUGUGAAUCAUCUCCAAGAAUUAGCGUUGCUUAUUCUGCGAACGAUUGGCGAAUGUCUUGUGAUUCUGAUAGUUCAAUCUAUGAAGCUGUUCUUCAUUGCAAAAGAUCUUUUGAAACAAUGAGUUAA